rnacentral:misc_RNA from 1 species
GAAAUGCGAUACGUAAUGUGAAUUGCAGAAUUCAGUGAAUCAUCGAGUCUUUGAACGCACAUUGCGCCCCCUGGUAUUCCGGGGGGCAUGCCUGUCCGAGCGUCAUUGCUGCCCUCAAGCACGGCUUGUGUGUUGGGCCCCCGUCCCCCCCCCCCUAAAAAAGAGGGGGACGGGCCCGAAAGGCAGCGGCGGCACCGUGUCCGGUCCUCGAGCGUAUGGGAAGCAACUCUUUUUGUCACCCGCUCCUGUAGGUCCGGCCGGCGGCCUGCCCAACCCUCAAUCAAUCUUUUUUAACCAGGUUGACCUCGGAUCAGGUAGGGAUACCCGCUGAACUUAA